rnacentral:rRNA from 1 species
GAGUUUGAUCCUGGCUCAGAACGAACGCUGGCGGCGUGGAUAAGACAUGCAAGUCGAACGGGAGAUUUGAAGCUUGCUUUGGAUCUCUAGUGGCGAACGGGUGAGUAACACGUGAGCAACCUGCCCAGAAGACGGGGAUAGCCCGGGGAAACUCGGAUUAAUACCCGAUGUGAUAGCAGUAUUAAAGGUGGCUUCGGCUGCCGCUUCUGGAUGGGCUCGCGGCCUAUCAGCUAGUUGGUGAGGUAAUGGCCCACCAAGGCGACGACGGGUAGCUGGUCUGAGAGGAUGACCAGCCACACUGGAACUGAGACACGGUCCAGACACCUACGGGUGGCAGCAGUCGAGAAUCAUUCACAAUGGGCGAAAGCCUGAUGGUGCGACGCCGCGUGGAGGAUGACGGUCUUCGGAUUGUAAACUCCUGUCAUCAGGGAGUAACGCUCUGGCGUUAAUAGCGUCAUGAGCUUGAUAGUACCUGAAGAGGAAGGGGCGGCUAACUCCGUGCCAGCAGCCGCGGUAACACGGAGGCCCCGAGCGUUGUUCGGAAUUACUGGGCGUAAAGAGUGCGUAGGCGGCGAGGCAAGUCAGAUGUGAAAGCCCGGGGCUCAACCUCGGAACUGCAUCCGAUACUGCCUUGCUUGAGGGUUGGAGAGGAGACUGGAAUUCACGGUGUAGCAGUGAAAUGCGUGGAUAUCGUGAGGAAGACCAAUGGCGAAGGCAGGUCUCUGGACAACUCCUGACGCUGAGGCACGAAGGCCAGGGGAGCGAAAAGGAUUAGAUACCCUUGUAGUCCUGGCAGUAAACGGUGCACGCUUGGUGUGGGAAGGUUCGACCCUUUCCGUGCCGUAGCAAACGUGUUAAGCGUGCCGCCUGGGGAGUACGGCCGCAAGGUUAAAACUCAAAGAAAUUGACGGGGACCCGCACAAGCGGUGGAGUAUGUGGCUUAAUUCGAUGCAACGCGAAGAACCUUACCUAGGUUUGACAUGCAUCUCUAAGCUUAUGAAAGUAAGUGAGCGUAGCAAUACGCAAUUUGCACAGGUGCUGCAUGGCUGUCGUCAGCUCGUGUCGUGAGAUGUUGGGUUAAGUCCCGCAACGAGCGC